rnacentral:rRNA from 1 species
GAUGAACACUGGCGGCGUGCCUAAUACAUGCAAGUCGAGCGAACAGAUGAGGAGCUUGCUCCUCUGACGUUAGCGGCGGACGGGUGAGUAACACGUGGAUAACCUACCUAUAAGACUGGGAUAACUUCGGGAAACCGGAGCUAAUACCGGAUAAUAUAUUGAACCGCAUGGUUCAAUAGUGAAAGACGGUUUUGCUGUCACUUAUAGAUGGAUCCGCGCCGCAUUAGCUAGUUGGUAAGGUAACGGCUUGCCAAGGCGACGAUGCGUAGCCGACCUGAGAGGGUGAUCGGCCACACUGGAACUGAGACACGGUCCAGACUCCUACGGGAGGCAGCAGUAGGGAAUCUUCCGCAAUGGGCGAAAGCCUGACGGAGCAACGCCGCGUGAGUGAUGAAGGUCUUCGGAUCGUAAAACUCUGUUAUUAGGGAAGAACAAAUGUGUAAGUAACUAUGCACGUCUUGACGGUACCUAAUCAGAAAGCCACGGCUAACUACGUG